GCGUGUGUGAUGAAGGUCUUCGGAUCGUAAAGCACUGUCGCGAGGGACGAAUAAGCCGUCGGCUAACAUCCGGCGGUGAUGACGGUACCUCGAGAGGAAGCACCGGCUAACUCUGUGCCAGCAGCCGCGGUAAUACAGAGGGUGCGAGCGUUGUUCGGAAUUAUUGGGCGUAAAGCGCGUGUAGGCGGCUUAGUAAGUCGGGUGUGAAAGCCCUCGGCUUAACCGAGGAAGUGCGCCCAAAACUGCUUGGCUUGAGUACCGGAGAGGGUGGCGGAAUUCCCGGUGUAGAGGUGAAAUUCGUAGAUAUCGGGAGGAACACCAGCGGCGAAGGCGGCCACCUGGACGGAUACUGACGCUGAGACGCGAAAGCGUGGGGAGCAAACAGGAUUAGAUACCCUGGUAGUCCACGCUGUAAACGAUGAGCGCUAGGUGUUGUGGGUGUUGACCCCCGCAGUGCCGCAGCUAACGCAUUAAGCGCUCCGCCUGGGAAGUACGGCCGCAAGGCUA
rnacentral:rRNA from 1 species